rnacentral:rRNA from 1 species
AACGAACGCUGGCGGCAUGCCUAACACAUGCAAGUCGAACGAGACCUUCGGGUCUAGUGGCGCACGGGUGCGUAACGCGUGGGAACCUGCCCUUAGGUUCGGAAUAACUCCCCGAAAGGGGUGCUAAUACCGGAUAAUGUCUUCGGACCAAAGAUUUAUCGCCUUUGGAUGGGCCUGCGUUGGAUUAGCUAGUUGGUAGGGUAAAAGCCUACCAAGGCGACGAUCCAUAGCUGGUCUGAGAGGAUGAUCAGCCACACUGGGACUGAGACGCGGCCCAGACUCCUACGGGAGGCAGCAGUGGGGGAUAUUGGACAAUGGGCGAAAGCCUGAUCCAGCAAUGCCGCGUGAGUGAUGAAGGCCUUAGGGUUGUAAAGCUCUUUUACCCGGGAUGAUAAUGACAGUACCGGGAGAAUAAGCUCCGGCUAACUCCGUG